GACGAACGCUGGCGGCGUGCUUAACACAUGCAAGUCGAACGGAAAGGCCCUGCUUUUGUGGGGUGCUCGAGUGGCGAACGGGUGAGUAACACGUGAGUAACCUGCCCUUGACUUUGGGAUAACUUCAGGAAACUGGGGCUAAUACCGGAUAGGAGCUCCUGCUGCAUGGCGGGGGUUGGAAAGUUUCGGCGGUUGGGGAUGGACUCGCGGCUUAUCAGCUUGUUGGUGGGGUAGUGGCUUACCAAGGCUUUGACGGGUAGCCGGCCUGAGAGGGUGACCGGCCACAUUGGGACUGAGAUACGGCCCAGACUCCUACGGGAGGCAGCAGUGGGGAGUAUUGCACAAUGGGCGGAAGCCUGAUGAAGCAACGCCGCGUGCGGGAUGACGGCCUUCGGGUUGUAAACCGCUUUCGCCUGUGACGAAGCGUGAGGGACGGUAAUGGGUAAAGAAGCACCGGCGAACUACGU
rnacentral:rRNA from 1 species